rnacentral:tmRNA from 1 species
GGGGGCGAAACAGGAUCGACGAGGGCGUAAAGGGCUUUCUUUCGCUCGGCAUGGUUCCGCCGUCAUCGGGCCGACCUAUAGUUGCGAAUGACAACUAUGCUCCGGUUGCCGUUGCCGCGUGAGCGGUAAAGGUACCGAAAUAAAGUCCUGAUCGGGUAGCUCUGAUUAGGCGGGGUUCGGAGGCACCUGGCAACAGAAGCCUCCACU